GACGAACGCUGGCGGCGUGCUUAACACAUGCAAGUCGAACGAAGAGCGAUGGAAGCUUGCUUCUAUCAAUCUUAGUGGCGAACGGGUGAGUAACGCGUAAUCAACCUGCCCUUCAGAGGGGGACAACAGUUGGAAACGAUUGCUAAUACCGCAUACGAUCUAAUCUCGGCAUCGAGGAUAGAUGAAAGGUGGCUUCUAUGUAUAAGCUAUCACUGAAGGAGGGGACUGCGUCUGAUUAGCUAGUUGGGGGGGUAACGGCCCACCAAGGCGAUGAUCAGUAGCCGGUCUGAGAGGAUGAACGGCCACAUUGGGACUGGGACACGGCCCAGACUCCUACGGGAGGCAGCAGUGGGGAAUCUUCCGCAAUGGACGAAAGUCGGACGGAGCAACGCCGCGUGAGUGAUGACGGCCUUCGGGUUGUAAAGCUCUGUUAAUCGGGACGAUAGGCCUUCUUGCGAAUAGUGGGAAGGAUUGACGGUACCGGAAUAGAAAGCCACGGCUAACUACGUG
rnacentral:rRNA from 1 species